CACGUAGGGGGCAAGCGUUGUCCGGAUUUAUUGGGCGUAAAGAGCUCGUAGGCUGUUCGGUAAGUCGGGUGUGAAACCCCCCAGGCUCAACCUGGGGACGCCACCUGAUACUGCUGUGACUCGAGUCCGGUAGGGGAGCGUGGAAUUCCUGGUGUAGCGGUGAAAUGCGCAGAUAUCAGGAGGAACACCAGCGGCGAAGGCGGCGCUCUGGGCCGGUACUGACGCUGAGACGCGAAAGCGUGGGGAGCGAACAGG
rnacentral:rRNA from 1 species